CCCCCCUCAAGAUGAGAUAUCCCUGACACAAGUCAAUAAGACCCCUUGAAGACGACGAGGUAGAUAGGCUUGAGGUGGAAGUGCAGUAAUGCAUGGAGCUGACAAGUACUAAUCGGUCGAAGGCUUAACUUA
rnacentral:rRNA from 1 species